GAUGAACGCUGGCGGCGUGCCUAAUACAUGCAAGUCGAGCGAACAGACGAGGAGCUUGCUCCUCUGACGUUAGCGGCGGACGGGUGAGUAACACGUGGAUAACCUACCUAUAAGACUGGGAUAACUUCGGGAAACCGGAGCUAAUACCGGAUAAUAUAUUGAACUGCAUGGUUCAAUAGUGAAAGACGGUUUUGCUGUCACUUAUAGAUGGAUCCGCGCCGCAUUAGCUAGUUGGUAAGGUAACGGCUUACCAAGGCAACGAUGCGUAGCCGACCUGAGAGGGUAAUCGGCCACACUGGAACUGAGACACGGUCCAGACUCCUACGGGAGGCAGCAGUAGGGAAUCUUCCGCAAUGGGCGAAAGCAUGACGGAGCAACGCCGAGUGAGUGAUGAAGGUCUUCGGAUCGUAAAACUCUGUUAUUAGGGAAGAACAAAUGUGUAAGUAACUAUGCACGUCUUGACGGUACCUAAUCAGAAAGCCACGGCUAACUACGUG
rnacentral:rRNA from 1 species